UACGUAGGGACCGAGCGUUGUCCGGAAUCAUUGGGCGUAAAGAGCGUGUAGGCGGCCACUUAAGUCCUGCGUGAAAUCUUGCGGCUCAACCGCAAGCGGUCGUGGGAAACUGGGUGGCUAGAGUGCGGGAGAGGGAUGCAGAAUUCCAGGUGUAGCGGUGAAAUGCGUAGAUAUCAGGAGGAACACCUGUGGUGUAGACGGCUUUCUGGACCAUAGCUGACGCUGAGACACGAAAGCGUGGGUAGCAAACAGG
rnacentral:rRNA from 1 species